GUGAGCCCAAGACACUAAAAGACUGAAGUUUGAUUGUACUUUAGUUUUGGCUGAUCUUAAUCAGCUAAGUCCACACUGGCAGCUCAGCUGGCUGCCUUUAAAUCCUGCUCCACCUGUUCCUUUUUACCCCAUGGCUUGAAACCACUUUCAGGUGGUUGUGGGGAAUCUCACUGUGAGGAGAGCCCCAAACAAAAGGCUCUUGCAGUUAUAUGGAUUCAAGACUGGGAGAAGGAGAGAAGAAAGGCUAGGAGUGGAAAAAUACUGACUACUGAAGCAUAGUGAGGGGAUAAUGUCUUCAAUUUUCUCCACCAUAAAGAGUUUGUGUACUAUAAAGAGAGGUGCCUGGGAAGGUUUCAGUUGAAGGCCCCGGAUAAAGAGGCUUCUAAAUGGAACCGUCAGGGGUAGGAACACAGUUAUAUGUUAGAACAUGGCUGAUAGAGGAGGCCUGAGUCCUUCACUGUAAGUCCCUUCAGAGACUGCAACACACUGGCUGCGCAUCCGGCCUGGUAUGGAGAGAACAGCUUCCUCAGGAGGUUUGCCAGCUUUAAGAUUGGAUCUCUUGUAAAGUGUGUUGAGUGGCAAGACUCAUGCUCCUCACCUCUGCCCUACUCAGGACAAUUCCCUUUUACUCAGAGCUCAGAAACGCCAAUGGACACCACCUGUGAAGUAGGAUGUUUGCACAUUCUAAAAUCAACUACUUGAGUAACAGUGGUCUCAGCUGUGUGUAGUUCAAAUGACCACACCUGCCUCAGGAGGCUCUCAACACACAAGAGGUGAACUUUAAGUCCGAAGCAUAUUUAAUGCAGAUUUUCCAUAGGAAGGAUCAUUUGCAUUAUGUGAAAUUGUCUUUCACUUUACUUGAACCAAACCAAGACAAAUGUAAGUGACUGCACUAAUUCCCUAAGUGAUUGCCUAUCUACUUUGUGAAGACAUGUUGCCAAAAUAUUGCAUUGCUGGAAUAAUUAUAAAAUCUGAGAGUAGAGUAGGGAUAGAGCUGGAAGGGUAAAACUGGGGCUGGAAGGAGCCACUUAUUCCUAUCUUCUCCAUCAGUGUUAUUAAAAAAACAAAGAUUGCACAGGCUGCCUAAGAUUUUAAAGUUGAAGAAAUCUGUCUUUGCCCCCUAUGUCUUUCCUUAAUGCCUUAAUGUAAUUUCCUGUAAGAAAUAGUUUUUUUCAUUUUAUUUUACCUGUCUGCCUUGAUAGCCUCUGUUACUCUCUGGCUUUGUACAGGCUGCUAAUGAGGUACAGUACCACCCUGGUCUUCCCUCCCCAGAAGCAAGUGCUACAGGCUACUGAUUGAACCUUUUAUCCUUUACCUUUGUUGUAAUAAAACCUUACUCUUUAGGGCUAUUGAUCUCUGCUAGAUGUUGGGAAAAGAGCAGUAAAAUAAAUUCACACUAAAGCAUUAUUCCUAAUAACUGACAGUGGUUAAAUAUCCAAGUUUUGUUUUGAAACACACAAACAUGCAAAUAAACAAAAAGGACUAGCAUGUUGGGUUCACAAGAAAAGAAUUUGAAUAAGGAUCUUCCGCAGUCUUACUGAAGUUAUCCAAUGGAGAUGAACUUAUUUUCACAUCUACUGGGGCUUCCCUUCCUGAAUUAAAUUGUGAAUGGAUCACUACAUUGUCAAAAGCUGAGAGAUUGUGAAUCAAACUGGAAUAUUGUAUAUAAAGGCCCUUAAACUAGAAGAUGAAUGAAAAGCCAAUAUGAAAAAGCCAAAUUAUAAUCCUAAUUGGGAUUAAAGUGGGAGUUUGAAGUGAGCUUCUGGUCCACACUCAUGUGGAAAUAAAUAAUAGAAGAGCAAUGGCUCAGCAGUGGAAUAAAGGAAAGGGAAAUUUGUUGUUUCAAACAUAUAAAGUUCUUAGUUAUUUACCAAACAUAUAUUAAACACAGGAAAAGACAUAAGGAUUUUAAAAAUGAAAGACAUAUUCUCUGAACUAAGGAAGCUUAUUCUGUAGGGAAUAAAUCAGAAACUAGAGAAUUAUGUUAUCCAUACAUGAUAAAUCCUGUGGGAGAGGUAAACAUCAGGUAUUUGGAGACCUCACAGUACCACAUCAUGUAAAACUAGGUAUGGAAGACAGGAAUAUAUUCAGGAAAGUUUUAAUUAGGUGAAUUAACAUUUACUGAAUUUUGGAGAAUGAAUAAAGAUUAACUAGAGGAAUAAAAAAAGACCUCUCCUACAGUCUCACUCUCUAUCUUAAUUAGAAAGUCAUUAACUUGGAAUUAGUCCAUUUAUUUGGUUUUUGUGAAGUAUUUCCUAAGCUCACAUGCAUAUUAGAGCAAAAAUUAAAGAUUAAAAAAGCCACCACAGUAACUAUAGAAAGCUUUUAGAUUUCUUUUGAAUGCAUAACUGCAUGUGCAUUUUGGUAAUUAUGGGAUCAAUUAUUAAUAUGUACAUUUCAUCAGUUCUACGAAUGACGGUUAAAAGAGAAAAGCAUAGUAAGCUCAGCUAGAGACCGCUUAAAGUGGCUCAGCACUCAUUAACUACAAAACUAAAUUAAAACAACAAGCAAUUUAUGAACAGGUAAAUACAAGACACAGGGAUGGAUGUACAAUUUAGUAGCUAUUUGAGGUUAUAUUAUUUGGGGUCCAUAGAAUUAUAGAAACCCCAAGAUGAAAUUUAUUUAUCUAUCUAGAGAAUAAAUGUUCCUGAAAGAUAUAGGAAUAUAGCUAAUGGUAAAACACAUAUGGAUAGAAAGCAGUUUGUGGUGGGUUGAUCUACAUAUUUCACACACACACACACACACACACACACACACACAAACGUACUUUACUUCUUUGGUUAAUUUAGAUAGAAAAUAUCUAAAGCUAAGACUAUAUGGUGUAGAAGGAAACAGCAAAGCUACUAGGUAUUUUAUAGUUUUUGUUGAAUCUCUUUUUUACACUGUUUAUAAAUAUGUGCAAAUUGCUACUAGAUUCAGAGCACAAAUUCCGACCCAUAACUCAUCACUUUCCUUGCAGUUACUACAGUUUAAAGGUCCUUUUGGAAAUGAACAUUUAACUUACUCCAGUCAAUGUUUCUGGUUGACAUUUGCUUUCACUGCCUGUUAUUUUCAGCCAUCACUAAAGCUUGUGGAAAAGGAAUGAAAAAAAAAAAGGAAGACUGUUUAGCUGAUGCUCUUCUAGGUCUAACUCUUUGAGUAAAGUUUUCAUUUUUGAGUGGAUUACAGCAUGCAAAACUUUGAUAUGACUCAAUUUAUCUGGGCAAUUUUAGAGAGCAAAAUGAAAGUGGGGAGAACCAAUGUAUGAUCCCUGACUUGAGAUGCUAUAUGUUUUUAAACAGAGCGAUAGAUUUUUGCAGGCAUGGGACUGAAAGUGCAGAAUAUCAUCAUGUGUCUUGUUGCUCUCCAUAUUUCUGUUUCUGAGUCUCUCUCAUUUGAAUCCCAUAACUAAUGUGAAAUGCCUAUCCUAAAAUGUAGGUGAAUUCAAAAUGCCAGAAUUGAGAAACUCUUCUUGGUUAGCACCACUUUCUGCUGCUAUCAGUCCCUUCCCACCUUGUUCUCCAAUUAAAAAAAUUAAAGAGCAGAGUAUAUAAAUAUCUGCUUAAUUGCUGAGAGAAGAAAUCUUUCCCUUUUGAUCUUCGUCUCCCUCACAACAAAUAUGGAUAUUUGUAAGUUGAGUAUACAAGGAUAAGCAGAAUUGCAAUUCUCCAACAGCAGUACCCUCAUAAUAGUUAUUUAAAAUUGUACUAGCAGUGAAUAUUGCAAAAAUGAAAUUAAAUUAUAUGAAGAAAAUAAUUCUUUUCAGUAUGUCAUUGUGACACGUAAGCUGUAUUGUCCACUUUUUGGUUUAGGAACCUCUGGGUAUGGGUGAGUGGGUCAUAAAGGCAUGACUUUGUGUACAAUAUCUGGUCACUGGUUCCGUCCUCUCUGAGGCUCUCCUUCUGCUCACCCUUCUACCAUGCUAUUUCUCCCUUGGAGCCUUGACCAUGGACUGAUCCUCCA